UGAGAAUGCCCGUGGCUUUGGACUUUUCCAGAAACUAUAAUUCUGAACAGCAGGCACGUCCUCUCACCAGAAGUGGGCAAUAUUGCUCUGUCUCAUCUCAAUGGGCUUGUGGAGACGCAGCCUGAACACGGGGCUUACGUGGGAACUACUGUGGGUCUGGAUCACAUCAAGAUAAAAGCGUAUCAAAGCCAGUCUGCUGGGCAAUAACAUGAGAGAAUGAUGAUCUUGAGGUGAAACAGAGUGAACAUGAACAGAAGAACAAACAGAAACUUUGUAUCUUCUUUUAUUCUACAAAUCCCAGAUCUUCAAAUGGACUCUGGAGGCCCCUUCCAUAUGGGACGCAGGAUUCCCAGAAUCUCCUGUCCUGAUGUGACCCUCGUCCACUAAUAUGGUUACGGUAAAAGUGGUAUUGUUUUAUUUGUGGUCAUUAUUAAUGCUUCACCCGGGACUAACACAGGCGGUGAGUGGUUUAAGAUGGUUUUAAUUAUUUAGAAAUGCUUUGAUACUAAACGUAUCAUGAACCCACAUUUAAUCAGAGAUGAAUGUGUGCAUUUCUCAUAUGGCAUAAACUUUUGUUUCUUAGAUAAAGAGUCACCUUCCAUUCAAUGAAAUUCUUUUUUUUUUAUUUACACGGGUAUAUUUGUAGCAAUAACCAACAAUAUAUUGUAUGGGUCAAAAUGAUCAUUUUUUAUGCCAAAAAAUCUUUAAGAUAUUAAGUAAAAAUUAGGGAUGCACCGAUAUGGAAAUUUUGGCCGAUACCGA